UACGUAGGGUGCGAGCGUUAAUCGGAAUUACUGGGCGUAAAGCGUGCGCAGGCGGUUCGUUGUGUCGGUGGUGAAAGCCCCGGGCUUAACCUGGGAAUGGCCAUGGAAACUGGCGAACUGGAGUGUGGCAGAGGGGGGUGGAAUUCCGCGUGUAGCAGUGAAAUGCGUAGAGAUGCGGAGGAACACCGUUGGCGAAGGCAGCCCCCUGGGCUAGCACUGCCGCUCAGGCACGAAAGCGUGGGGAGCAAACAGG
rnacentral:rRNA from 1 species